rnacentral:misc_RNA from 1 species
AAGUCGUAACAAGGUUUCCGUAGGUGAACCUGCGGAAGGAUCAUUACCGAGUAAGGGUUUCUCCCUCGCGAGAGCCCGACCUCCCACCCUUUGUUGUCGAACAAAUUCUGUUGCUUUGGCGGGACCGUCCUUCGGCCCCCUUCAAAACGGGGUCGUGGCUGCCGGGUCUCGUACCGGGUAAGCGCCCGCCAGAGUCCACAAAUAAAACACUUUUUUGAAAGAAAAUUCGUCUGAGUAAAAUGAUUAAAUCAAUCAAAACUUUCAACAACGGAUCUCUUGGUUCUG